AGCUUUGCGCAGUGGCAGUAUCGUAGCCAAUGAGGUUUAUCCGAGGCUCGAUUAUUGCUAAUUGAAAAAUAUACAUUAUGGAACAAUAUAUACACUGAAGAAAGUUACUUGCUCCACUUGGGG
rnacentral:snRNA from 2 species